AUGAGCUGGAGAAUUCCUCUUUUCGGCAGCUCUCAGCAGCAACAGCAGCAACAGCAACCUGAACCAAAUUUCCAGAACAUAUCUACGCAAUCUUGGUACCCUCCCUCAGUAGGUGGUUCAUCUUCACAUCCAUCCACACCCAGCUCUUCCGGUGCUAGUCCACACCAAAGAGCUUCAGAUCAUCCUCAGCCUUCAUCACGUGGCCAACCGUCUCCAGCUGAAGCUGCAGGGAUAAUUGCUCGUUUGAGGGAUAAGAGUGUUGAUGAGCUGCAGAGGCUGUUAAAGGACAAGGAGUCAUAUAAUGCUUUUUUCAAUUCACUUGACCAAGUUAAAACACAGAACAAUUUACGCGAUGAGCUUAGAAAGGAGACCCUGCAGCUUGCGAGAGAAAAUUUAGAAAAGGAGCAGCGGAUUUCAGAGCUCAGGAAUCAGUGUACUAUAAUCAGAACCACAGAACUAGCAGCCGCUGAGGACAGGUUGGCCGAGUUGGAAAGGCAAAAGGACGAGAUUAUGAAGUCCUAUUCUCCUGCUGCUCUGCUCGACAAGCUGCAAAGUACAAUGGCGAAGCUGGACGAGGAGUCGGAGGAGCUGCACCAAAAGUUCCUGGAGAAGGACAUUGACCUGCCGACCUUUGUGCAGAAGUACAAGAAGCUCCGUGCUGCACACCACAAGUGUGCGCUUCUCCACCUCUCCGGCAAGGCCUCGCUUCGCUGA
rnacentral:rRNA from 1 species